ensembl:lncRNA novel transcript, antisense to IWS1
AUCCCACCUGUGGACCCAGCCUCAACUAUGACAUGAAGCCAGCUGAGCACUAGGCAAGGAACUCUAAGUCAUUCUUGACCAAGAGCCAUGUUGACCUGUCUUUCUAGGAAUAUCUCAAUUCAAAUAUUAUUCUGUAUCGUCUCAAUACUUGGCAUUCGUACUCUGAGUAAGCAUAAAAAGUGUCAGAUGAGAAAGAGCUAUGCCACCAUCACACUAUCUCCCAGAUUUCCUGGACAGUCCCAAAUAUCUGACUUCCUUUUAGAGGAUGUGCCGUGAUCUUAGUACUUGUACUUGGUCCACAUCGGAAGCUUUACCUGCUCAAAUCUCUGCCAACUACACAAUUCCCAGCAGCUUCACACAUUAACUGGACUUCCCUUCGCCUACUCCCAGGACCCUCACUAACUGUCUAAGCCCUGAUGGAUCUGUCUAGCCUCAGCAAUCAGGGCACACACGGGCCAGUGGGUUACAAAAUAUAUGACUGGUAGUUGCAGAUGCCUACUUACCCCAAGCUUGAAAAGACAGACCAGAGUACCUCAUACACCAAGUUCAAUGAUCUCUCUCCUGAUUCAUCAAGGGAACGCUACACUUCCUUAGAAAUUAAGAGUGUGUGCUACACUGCUUUACCAGAGCAAGGCCAAAAGCAGCUUCAAUUAUGGUACAACUGUGUGAAGACACAAUGCAAAACCACUCAAGAAUGCUCACUCAAAUGGAUUUUUACCAUGGAACUCGGAAACGGGACCCAGAAAGUUGUUUUCUCAAGUGGAUGGAACAACACAAGCAAUCAGUAUCCUGAAACAGGCCCUGUUCCAACAAACUGACCCAGAAAGGUCUGG